UACGUAGGUGACCAGCGUUGUCCGGAUUUACUGGGCGUAAAGAGCGCGCAGGCGGUCGUUCAAGUCGAGUGUGAAAGCCCCCGGCUCAACUGGGGAGGGUCACUCGAUACUGGUCGACUUGAAGGCAGGAGAGGGAAGCGGAAUUCCCGGUGUAGUGGUGAAAUGCGUAGAUAUCGGGAGGAACACCAGUGGCGACGGCGGCUUCCUGGCCUGUUCUUGACGCUGAGGCGCGAAAGCGUGGGGAGCAAACAGG
rnacentral:rRNA from 1 species